AUUGAACGCUGGCGGCAGGCUUAACACAUGCAAGUCGAACGAGUGGCGAACGGGUGAGUAACGCAUCGGAACGUACCGAGUAAUGGGGGAUAACUGUCCGAAAGGACAGCUAAUACCGCAUACUAUUCGAGCGGCCGAUGUCUGAUUAGCUGGUUGGCGGGGUAAAGGCCCACCAAGGCGACGAUCAGUAGCGGGUCUGAGAGGCUGAUGCGCCACACUGGGUCUGAGACACGGCCCAGACUCCUACGGGAGGCAGCAGUGGGGAAUUUUGGACAAUGGGCGCAAGCCUGAUCCAGCCAUGCCGCGUGUCUGAAGAAGGCCUUCGGGUUGUAAAGGACUUUUGUCAGGGAAGCGGUACCUGAAGAAUAAGCACCGGCUAACUACGUGCCAGCCGCCGCGGUAAUUC
rnacentral:rRNA from 1 species